UACAGAGGUCUCGAGCGUUGUUCGGAUUCAUUGGGCGUAAAGGGCUCGUAGGCGGUCUGUCGCGUCGAAAGUGAAAACUCAGGGCUUAACCCUGAGCCUGCUUCCGAUACGGGCAGACUAGAGGUAUGCAGGGGAGAGCGGAAUUCCUGGUGUAGCGGUGAAAUGCGCAGAUAUCAGGAGGAACACCGGUGGCGAAGGCGGUUCUCUGGGCAUGUCCUGACGCUGAGGAGCGAAAGUGUGGGGAGCGAACAGG
rnacentral:rRNA from 1 species